rnacentral:rRNA from 1 species
UGAUGUUAGCGGCGGACGGGUGAGUAACACGUGGAUAACCUACCUAUAAGACUGGGAUAACUUCGGGAAACCGGAGCUAAUACCGGAUAAUAUUUUGAACCGCAUGGUUCAAAAGUGAAAGACGGUCUUGCUGUCACUUAUAGAUGGAUCCGCGCUGCAUUAGCUAGUUGGUAAGGUAACGGCUUACCAAGGCAACGAUGCAUAGCCGACCUGAGAGGGUGAUCGGCCACACUGGAACUGAGACACGGCCCAGACUCCUACGGGAGGCAGCAGUAGGGAAUCUUCCGCAAUGGGCGAAAGCCUGACGGAGCAACGCCGCGUGAGUGAUGAAGGUCUUCGGAUCGUAAAACUCUGUUAUUAGGGAAGAACAUAUGUGUAAGUAACUGUGCACAUCUUGACGGUACCUAAUCAGGAAGCCACGGCUAACUACGUGCCAGCAGCCGCGGUAAUACGUAGGUGGCAAGCGUUAUCCGGAAUUAUUGGGCGUAAAGCGCGCGUAGGCGGUUUUUUAAGUCCGAUGUGAAAGCCCACGGCUCAACCGUGGAGGGUCAUUGGAAACUGGAAAACUUGAGUGCAGAAGAGGAAAGUGGAAUUCCAUGUGUAGCGGUGAAAUGCGCAGAGAUAUGGAGGAACACCAGUGGCGAAGGCGACUUUCUGGUCUGUAACUGACGCUGAUGUGUGAAAGCGUGGGGAUCAAACAGGAUUAGAUACCCUGGUAGUCCACGCCGUAAACGAUGAGUGCUAAGUGUUAGGGGGUUUCCGCCCCUUAGUGCUGCAGCUAACGCAUUAAGCACUCCG